rnacentral:rRNA from 1 species
AGUGCCGUUGAUACUGUGAGGCUAGGAUUUGGUUGCUGUGGGUGGAAUGUGUGGUGUAGCGGUGAAAUGCUUAGAGAUCACACAGAAUAUCGAUUGCGAAGGCAGCUCACAAAGCCAAGAUUGACGCUGAGGCACGAAAGUGUGGGGAUCAAACAGGAUUAGAUACCCUGGUAGUCCACACUGUAAACGAUGAUAACUCGCUGUCGGCGAUAUACAGUCGGUGGCCAAGCGAAAGCGAUAAGUUAUCCACCUGGGGAGUACGACCGCAAGGUUGAAACUCAAAGGAAUUGACGGGGGCCCGCACAAGCGGAGGAACAUGUGGUUUAAUUCGAUGAUACGCGAGGAACCUUACGCGGGCUCAAACGGUGCAAGAAUAUGGUAGAGAUAUCAUAGCUAGCAAUAGUCUGUAUCGAUGUGCUGCAUGGUUGUCGUCAGCUCGUGCCGUGAUGUGUCGCUUAUAAGUGAUAACACGAGCGCACCCCUUGUUGUGGUUACCCUCAGGUCAACUGGGGGGUCUCAAAUGAGACUGCCACCGUAAGGUGAAAGAAAGGGGGGGAUGACUUCAAAUCACCACGGCCCUUAUGUCCGAGGCGACACACGUGUUACUAUGGGGGGGACAAAGGGGGGCCCAUCCGGGCGACGGACGCCCACACUCAAAAACCCUUCUCAGUUCGAUUGGGAGUUUUGAAACCUAC